rnacentral:rRNA from 1 species
UACGUAGGGGGGCAAGCGUUGUCCGGAUUUAUUGGGCGUAAAGAGCGUGUAGGCGGCCAGGUAGGUCUGCUGUGAAAAACUCGAGGCUCAACCUCGAGACGCCGGUUGAAACCAUCAGGCUAGAGUCCGGAAGAGGAGAGUGGAAUUUCCCGGUGUAGCGGUGAAAUGCGCAGAUAUCGGGAAGAACACCCGUGGCUAAGGCGGCUCUCUAGUACGGUACUGACGCUGAGACGCGAAAGCGUGGGGAGCGAACAGG